AAUUGCUACAUGAUUGAAUUUGCUCUCUCAGAUGCCACUGUCAAUUCACUUUGUUUUAUAUUUUUAUGAGUUACUAGAAAAUAUAUCCAGUGCUUGCUUUUGAAAGACUCGGCUUGGAUAAUAAAUCAAGUGCUCUCCCAAAUAUUUCUUUCAUUGCAGAUCUCACUAACUAUGUUGUUGUCCUGGUUAUUAUUUUCUCUAUCUGAAAAGCAGACAAGCCCAGAUUCUGGAGGCAGACUACUUUCUCUGACUACUUUCAAAUCUUGGCUCUGCCACUUACGAGCACUGUGACUGAGGGACUUUGAAUAUGUGAUCCAGAGCCAUGAAGUCACUCAUUGUCAUUAGCAUUUCAGAGCUCACCCACAGACAUCAAUACUCAGGAGACAUUAAUACUCAAUCAGACUAAGUUCAAAAGAACAUUUUGAACUUUAAGAUAUGUAGAAGAUUGUUAAGAAGAAAUGAAGAAUCAGUUAUUGCUAAAUCUGCCAAGAAGAAAAAACCCUGAAUUCAUAUUUUGGUGCACAAAUCCUCAAAAUCCAUGUGCAUAUAUAGUGGAACCUAGGCAUCAUCCAGAUAAAAGGAUAUCUCAGGAAGAACUCCUGGGUCCACCCAAUACCCACAGCUGGGCAGAGAGACAAUGAUAUCACUAUUCUGCAAGCUUCCUGAGAGCAGACACUGAAACUUGUUCCACAUCAUGUCCUCAGUACUAUGCAUACAGAAGUGUUUGAUAAUACUUGUGGGAAAUAGGUUCCAGUAUUACAAUGCCACGUCUUAUAAGAGCGUGUGAGUCUGAGGGCUGCUGACGUGUUUCCUGUUCAGAAGCAGAGAUCUCAGUUUACCUUCUGAAGACACAUGGCUCCAUUACAUGCUGCCCCUGCUAACAGUCAGCAGACCACCAAACACAUGCAUGACCCUGGUGAACAUGGGAAGAACUUUUCUGCCCAACUCCACCCAAAUUGUUAUCUUGUAAAGUCAAGCUAAGUAAAUACUUAUUGUUUUAAAUCAAUGAGU